GACGAACGCUGGCGGCAUGCCUAAUACAUGCAAGUCGAGCGGACAGAAGGGAGCUUGCUCCCGGAAGUUAGCGGCGGACGGGUGAGUAACACGUGGGCAACCUACCCUGUAGAUCGGGAUGACAUCGAGAAAUCGGUGCUAAUACCGGAUAAUCAUUUGAAGUGCAUGCUUCGAAUGUAAAAGAUGGCUCCGGCUAUCACUACGGGAUGGGCCCGCGGCGCAUUAGCUAGUUGGUAAGGUAAUGGCUUACCAAGGCAACGAUGCGUAGCCGACCUGGGAGGGUGAUCGGCCACACUGGGACUGAGACACGGCCCAGACUCCUACGGGAGGCAGCAGUAGGGAAUCUUCCGCAAUGGACGAAAGUCUGACGGAGCAACGCCGCGUGAGUGAGGAAGGUUUUCGGAUCGUAAAGCUCUGUUGUUAGGGAAGAACAAGUGCCGUUUGAAUAAGGCGGCACCUUGACGGUACCUAACCAGAAAGCCACGGCUAACUACGUGCCAGCCGCCGCCGUAACAC
rnacentral:rRNA from 1 species